rnacentral:rRNA from 1 species
ACUCCUACGGGAGGCAGCAGUGGGGAAUAUUGCACAAUGGGCGCAAGCCUGAUGCAGCCAUGCCGCGUGUGUGAAGAAGGCCUUCGGGUUGUAAAGCACUUUCAGUCGUGAGGAAGGUAGUGUAGUUAAUAGCUGCAUUACUUGACGUUAGCGACAGAAGAAGCACCGGCUAACUCCGUGCCAGCAGCCGCGGUAAUACGGAGGGUGCGAGCGUUAAUCGGAAUUACUGGGCGUAAAGCGCAUGCAGGUGGUUUGUUAAGUCAGAUGUGAAAGCCCGGGGCUCAACCUCGGAAUAGCAUUUGAAACUGGCAGACUAGAGUACUGUAGAGGGGGGUAGAAUUUCAGGUGUAGCGGUGAAAUGCGUAGAGAUCUGAAGGAAUACCGGUGGCGAAGGCGGCCCCCUGGACAGAUACUGACACUCAGAUGCGAAAGCGUGGGGAGCAAACAGGAUUAGAUACCCUGGUA